GGCUCUGUGGCGGAUGGUCCGCGUCUGUAACCCGUGCCGUCUGUCGUGAAAGUUAAGCAGAAGACGCUCGUUCGAAUCGAGCCAGAGCCA